CUCAAGGCUGGCGUAAACUGAGCUCCGCUUUCUUAUCACAGCGAAGCAGCUGCGCGAAGGGCAGGAGACACUGCCGCCUGACCCACUCACCCCUCUCUCUUCCUGAGCGCUGGAAUGUGUUCAGCUUCAGAUGAGCAUGGAGCCCCUCACUGUAAAUGCACGGGUUCAUCCAACACCACAAGUCGGUAAGGGAAGAACCAUCGCCAUUCUACCCAAGAGAAAGCCGGGCAAUACAAAAGCCACAUCACACGCCAAGGGCUCUGCAGCUCGAAGGCAGGCAGCGCACGACAUGCGCUGCGCAGGGGUAAAGCCGCACUUUCCAACGGAGCACAAAAUCCACUCAGUUACGAGUGCACACGAGCACCGCUUCCUCACCACCCGCACUGUUCCUGGUGCCUUAGAGGAGCCAAAUAAUGUGCAACGUUCCACCUCUGGGGGCGAGCGCCUGCAUCUGAUUUUCAAAAGAAGAUGACAACAGAGUCUCCAUUACCUGUACCAGCGGUCAGCCACUUGUUCCAUUUUCAUGACUGUAGCUCUCCUGGGACACAGGCAUGCCACUGGUUUCCAUGUCGUCAGGACUAGUCUUGGGGACAAUGGUGGAAGAGGCAUGACAGACUGGAUAGCCUGUGAGGCCUGAAACAGUCACCCCUUGGCUCAUUACAGGCAGUUUUCUGACUGCUGAUGUAUACUCACAAAGCAGGUACGGCACGGAGCGUGACAUCCGUAAGCAGAUGCCCAGUCUCACGUUAGGCCGAAGCGUCAAGUGCCCAGCGCAGCAAAGCUCCUCUACCACGGCCACCAGACAGCCAGAGAGAGUGUGAGUUGCAUUCAUGGUUCUUCCUGAGGGAAGGUGCACACGGGUGGCGGCAAGGCAAAAGGUCUGAAGCAUCUCACAACAUGGCAAGGUUCUAGCAUCAGCCAAGUAAGAACGUGUACUAUCAUCACUCGGGCGUACUUUCAUGUACAGGUGAGGGUUUCAGGUCAUUCUCCCGACAAUUUAACGAAGGGCAGACGGAGCUGAAGGCAGAGGCAGAUGUGCUAAGCCGAUCAGAAUGAUGGCACAGAGGCUCGGUGAGUGCUGGAGCUGGGGCUGUGCUUCAACAUUCUGGCCCCAAGCUCACCCUUGGAGUCAAGGGUCCCAAACAAACACCGCCACAGCUCUAAAGUAAAAUAUUUCUAAGAUUUCACUCCCAAAUAUUAUAAAACGAUAAUUUGUUCAUGCUCUACACAAUGAAAAAUAAAGUCACCGAAUAGGGGUUCCAUUCCCGGAACUCUGAAAACAAGGUUUCCCAACGAUUUUAUUCACUUGAAUGAGUCCUUGUUUCCAUUUUAACAAAAGACAGGAAAAAAAAUGUAACUGAGACCCAUCUUAAUUACAGGCUUUUUUGAGUUCUAAUAUGAACUGUAUUUUCCUAUCAGAUUACAUUUUCCAGAAAAACAAGCACAUUUAAGUCCUUCCAAAGGAGAAAAAUACCUUUUUGUGGGCUUCUGUUUGCAACGAAGAAAGCAGAGCCAAGCUUCCCCCAAAAUACAUACACAGAAAAUGCAAGUACAGAUUACCAAAUUAAAGGGGGCACUCCCACCCGCUAUUUGCAUUUUCAGUGUUACUGGAUCUUUAGCAUUAGCUGUUCAAUUCCUACGUGUGGUUGAUACAGGGGGGGAAAAGGCUCAUUAAAAAUGUCCAAAAGUGUGCCUGGCCCUAAAAAAGUUAAAAAUGCUAUAUAGUUGGUGCAUAAGCAAUAAAUUAUUUAAAUCACAUUUGUCUUUAAAAUAAAUUUUUUCAUACAUUAUUCCUUCCGUUUGUCAUAGCAUUUUAAGUCAAAAAAAAGAUCCUUGUCCCAAAGGAUAUACACUACUGCUACAUGGUAGAAACAUUCUAAAGUUUUGUAGUAUUUAAACAUAAUUUUUCUCCAUCAAAGGGUUGAAUGCUUUUUGGAAUCUGAGUUUCAUAAACACUGUAAUUUUACCAUUAAACAUAUUUCCAGGGUCAUAAAUAUUCAAAUUAUGUAAUAAAGAUAGUACAAGUGGCUGAUAAAAUACAAUUACCAUUCAUUUACAGUAGCUUAGCAAGCUGUGCCAAACGCUGCUUCCCGUAACAGGCUAUGAGCUUCUGAUUGCACUAAGCUUCCUGAUUAUCCUUUUCUAUCUUGCGCUAUCUCCACACUGUUUCCAGGACUCUAAAAGCACUAAGAAGUAGACACGAAGGUUUCUGAAGUUCACAAGGUCUAGGUUCCAUGACAUUAACAUUUUUCCCAAUUGUGUAUCUUCGUCUGUACUUCUAAAUUUCUUUAAUUUCCAAAAAUGAUAGUGACAUUCCAUUGCUUCGGUUUUCCCCGUUUAACUCUGUAAAACUGAAGUCUCUGUUCCAAGGGUCUUUAAACUGUCUGUGUUGCUUUCAUGUAAGUAAACACACAUUUCUUUGAGAAAAGCACAGAACUCUCCAUUUCCUUUGGUAUGUUUAAGACAUUCUGCAAAGCUGUCUCAGAGAGAUACAACGAACACGACUAUUAUAUUUUGAAGAAUAAAUACUACUGUCAGCACAUUACUUUCAUUAAGGGAAUUUUAUCAUUUGAUUUUACAAACAGCGCUGGUAAUUCUUGCUGAGAAUUCUUCAUUCCCUCAUAGUGAUCAGCAAGCUUCAGGAAAGAACUGUUUACAAUUAAGAAACUUCAUAUACUAUAGGGUCCUUUAAACUAAUAAUCAGCUACAGAUUCUAACUGUGUCCUUUCACAGAAUUAGGGCUUGUUCCAUAACCAGAUAUGCUCCUAUUAUCUCACCGAAGUGCCUUCCAGGCUAUUAAAACAUCUGCCUAGUCUUGCUUAACAUUUUAGCCUCAGGCCCAGUCCAAAGGGAUUUCUGAGGCAGCUCUGUCAUAACUUUAUUGAAUUCUUAUUCUAAAUUUUGAAAACUGUAACUUUUGAAAAAAAUUUAUAAAGAGAUCUCAGAGUCACUGUCUAUAAAAUAAACAUAUUUAAUAAACACAUAUCAAUAAAUAUACUCUGGUUCAACAACACACCAUUUAACACCUUGCGAUGUCUUCAUUUACAUGUAUUCCAGCACUAGUACGAACGCAGAAAUUCUCAGUUAGGAGCAUUAACGCUUUUACAGCUUUCUCGUUGCUAAUCUUCCUGCUAAGAAACUAUAACAAGAGAAAAUAUCAGAAAUCUGGUCUUUGUGGGCCCAAACAAAUACUGACCGAGCUCCCACUGUUUACAAAGUACUGUGCUUGAGGCCAGAGUUGGCACAUAUAUGACAAAUGAUCUUUAAGGACCACAGUCUAUGGAAGACAGAAAUUAAACACAUGGUUCCAUAAAUAAUUCCGACUAGAGUGGAUUAAAAAAACAUUUUCCUCACUAUAAAAUAACAUUGUAGCAGGGAUCAUGCUAAUAUUUUAAAUGUACUCAUUCAUUUAAUCAUCAACGUAGCACAUCAUUAUUAGAGAAAAUGUGGAAAAUACUAGAAUGUACAAAGAAGAUUGUUUUUAAAUUGCAGAUCUCAUUUUCUCAGAAAUAAGAAUUGUAAUACUUUGGUAUAGAUCGUAUUUUAUUUGCUGUGUAAUUUCCCCACCGAAUGAGAUAUCCUAAUAGUUUCCUUGUCCUGAAAAGUCACAAUUUUUAAUGGUUCCAUAAGAUUCUGGCACUUUUAUGUACAAUAUUUAAUUAUUUUAUGUGGUUUAUAAUUUUCAUUAAAAAACUAUGAUGAGCCAAGCAUUGUGACACAAACCUGCAAUUCCAGCACUCAAGGGGGCUGGGUGGGGUAGGAGGACUGCUGCAAGUUUGAGGCCAGGCUGGGCUACAUAGUGAGUUUAAGGCCAACCUGAAUGACAUAAUGAGACUCAUUUCCAGAAAGAAAGAAAUACUGCUAUGCAGAAAUCUAUAUCCGUGUCUGUGUGUCUGUGUGUGUCUGUGUGUGUCUGUGUGUGGUACUGGGAUUCUUGAACCUAGGGCCUCACUUAUGCUAAGCCCACACACUACCACUGAACCCCUCUACCACUAAGCUAUAGCCCUAGCCCCUGGAUACACUUCUAAAAGUGAAAGAAUAGGUUCCAAUUACACUCCAAAAAUAUGGCAUCAAUGUACACUUCCAUUCCUAGCAAUAAACUAUGUUUACCAUACCACAUUCUCAACAGCACUAAAGAUUAUCCUUUUGAAAAAUUCCCUUCAAAAUAUAAAAUUGCCUCUCACCCUGUGUGCCCCGCCUGAGCACACACAUCGCUCAGCUACGUGACAGGUAACACAUUUUUAAAGGAGACAGUUUGUUAGGUUAAGUGGGAUUUACAGAGAGAAAAACUUAAAUGGCAAACAUUGGAAUACAUUUUUCUAGAACUUAAAGACAUCAGUAAACUGGAGUUCUCCAAUGCAAAUAUUUCCUGCCAGAAGUCAGGACGUUAGGAAUUUCUUCCCCUUAGAUUAAAUUCAGAUUGAAGCACCUAAAUGCCAAAAUGGUGGACGAAAAUGGAAACACCAGUGAUUCGACAUACAGGACACACUGUUGUGCAAUCAGUGACUAAAGUAUCAGAGCAGAAUUUACCAGAGCACCUGUCUUAACAAAACUCAGAUGAACGAGCAACAGCACCGUGGACAGAAGGACAGAUUUCAUAACCCAUCACUCCCAAACGAUUCAUUACUACUUGUGGAAAAACACCAGGAUCGUAACUGGUGAGACCCUCACCACUGCGUCUGGUCUUGAGUUCUUCCCGGCUCAAUGUCCCUCAAGAGCCAACAAAGCUGCUAAGAAAUGCAUAGUGGAUCGUACUGGGGAAAAAUGAAGAUAAACAAUGGCGAAGAGUUUGUCUUUGGAGAAACAGGUGAACACUGAAGAGAAGAUAUGCAAAGGUCUUAAGGCGCGCGCGCACACACACACACACACACACA
rnacentral:lncRNA from 1 species